UGACAGUUUAUUAAUUUUGAUAAUGUGAUAAUAUGAUAUGAUUAUAGAAGAUAAAUUAGUUGACCACUAGCUAGCUACUCGUAACAAAGACAUUUAAGACCCUUAUUUUAAUUUCUUCCAUCGAAAAAUGAAAAUUCGCUCAAUUAUAUGAAAGCGUCCAACGUCCAAAUACCAAGAACUGCCAAAAAUGAAACAAAUAAUUAAAUAAAUUAAUAACAUAAAAAAAGAAUGAUCAAAUCUUCAUUUCGUGUAGUGCUAAGAAUGAUAGCAAUAAUUCAAACAAAUCAACUCUAUAUCUUGUAUACAUGCUAUAAUAAUAAUCCAAAACAACUUUUUUUCCUAAUUUACAAACCACAAAAUAUAUAAUAUAAUAUCAACAUCAUCAUCUACACAUUAACUUCUACAUGAAAUAAAAACUUAAAAAAACAAUGAUGCUAAAAGAAAAGAAACACACUAAUCUCUCUGCAAAAAUUACUUUCUUAUCUAAACAUAACUAAAUCCAGCUGCGAGAUCAGUUGUGAAGAGGGUUCGGGCCUCCUGGAGUUUUUCGAUUCGAGACGCCGUAAAUCGAUUCAUCUUCUUUGUCUCUCGAUCUCGUCGGACUUUCCGCCGGCAAAUGCCAUGAAUACUUUGAAAGAAGUCUCGACGACGAAGAAGAAUUUUCAGCCGUUGAUUCCGCCGGGAAUUCGCGACAGUCGGAGAUGGCGAGGAAGAUGAUCAGAAUGAUCAGCAGAAAUGGGGUUUUGGGAGAAUGAUUUUUCAUAAUAUAUGAAAAAUGUUGAAGAAGAGAAAUGGUAGAGAUAUGUGAGAAAAUGUGUUGUUAUGGCACCAAGAAGCUUAAAUAAGUCAUCAUAUGAUCUUAUAUAAGUUGGAAUGACUAUAUUGGCCCCCAUGAUUGUGUGUGAAAUGGGUUCUUGAUUUUAAUUAGAGGCUUCCAAUUUGUAGCCAUUUCUGUUGACCAUCUUGUAGUUAUGACUUUUCUUGAAUAGUUUAAAUUUAAUUGAGUUGUUUAAGUUUGGUAUUUGGAAGUUGUAUAUCAUGUAUAAUUGGUUUAGUGUUUGAAGUCAAGAAAAAGAGUCACACACGAUAUUA
rnacentral:lncRNA from 1 species